UUUGGGUUAUUUCUAUUGUUUGUCUUGGAUCAAAAUAGAAAAGUGGUAUCAAUUUUUGAUCCGAUACCAAUACCUACUUUCGGAAAGAAUGUACUUAAAACCGUGGCCGACAAUCUAAACCUUGCGCUUGAAGUUGCAAACACUGCAUUCAACGAUGAUAUCUCUAAAUGGGAAUGCAUAGUUCCUGAUGCUCCAACAAACUCACACUGUGCCUUGUCUGGUUAUUUGGUUUUUAAUUACAUGCACUCAUUGUGCGAUGGAAAGCUAUAUUUUCCCAUACCCCAGGAUGGUUUUCAACUGAGGAAGCAAUUUUUGGUGCAUAUUUUAAAGUACGAAGGGAAUGAAGCUCAAAACAGUAUCCCAUACAUUGAACGAAGCAUCAUUGAUCGCAUC
rnacentral:rRNA from 1 species